CCUACGGGUGGCAGCAGUGAGGAAUAUUGGUCACUGGACGAGAGUCUGAACCAGCCAAGUAGCGUGAAGGAUGACUGCCCUAUGGGUUGUAAACUUCUUUUAUAAAGGAAUAAAACGAGGCACGUGUGCCUUUUUGCAUGUACUUUAUGAAUAAGGAUCGGCUAACUCCGUGCCAGCAGCCGCGGUAAUACGGAGAAUACGAGCGUUAUCCGGAGUUAUUGGGUGUAAAGGGAGCGGAGAUGGGUAUUUAUGUCAGUUGUGAAAGUUUGCGUCUCAACCGUGAAAUUGCAAUUGAUACUGGCAGUCAUGAGUACAGGUGAGGUAGGCGGAAGGCGUGGUGUAGCGGUGAAAUGCUUAGAUAUCACGAAGAACUCCGAUUGCGAAGGCAGCUUACUAAACUGUGACUGACAUUGAUGCUCGAAAGUGUGGGUAUCAAACAGGAUUAGAUACCCCUGUAGUC
rnacentral:rRNA from 1 species